UACGGAGGGUGCAAACGUUGCUCGGAAUUAUUGGGCGUAAAGCGCACGUAGGCGGCUUCGCAAGUCGGAUGUGAAAUCCCGUGGCUCAACCAUGGACGUGCAUUCGAAACUGCGAAGCUUGAGUAUGGAAGAGGGUCGCGGAAUUCCCGGUGUAGAGGUGAAAUUCGUAGAUAUCGGGAGGAACACCAGUGGCGAAGGCGGCGACCUGGGCCAAUACUGACGCUGAGGUGCGAAAGCGUGGGGAGCAAACAGG
rnacentral:rRNA from 1 species